CCAAACGACGUAGUUUUGAGUUCCCACUUAGAUUCAAUCUGAGCCCUUCAUAUCCUUUCAUCCAACGGUCGUGGGAGGCCCCUCACAAAUACAUAAAAGUGUCCAAAUUCCCCAAAGACAACGUCAGUUCCCAAACACCCCUUUUCACUUCAUCUCCCUCAUCUCAAAAGCCCUAAGCCGCCGCCCUUGAAUUCUCCACUCGCCGGCCGGCGGCGCCGGCUCAUACCAGCCUCAAACUCACACCCCAAAAUCCUCACAACCUCCCUUUUCCCAAUCCCUAACUAAUAUCUCUCGAAUCGUCACAAAACAGAGCCGAUUUCAAAUCUAAAAAAAGACAGAAAAACAAAAGAAAAAAUCUCUUGAUUUCUUCAAGUUUGAAUGACCGGUUAGGGUCUAAAUUGUUGUUUCUCCCUUGUUUUUAACAAGAACCCGCGACGAAUACCAAUUUCGGCUCGAAAUCGGGAUAGUAGAGGUCCGUUCAAAGCAAUGACAGAGGUUCAUCCACUUCUUGUUUAGGUAUUUCAAGUCUUUUUACGUUUUCUUUUUCGUUUAGUUCCAGUCUUCAUCUCUUCUUACUUCAUCUCUUCUUUUCUCUAUUAUUUUUUUCCGUUUUGAAUCAGUUUUUGCUCGCAUGUUUAAAAUUAAAAUUUAUUAGUUCAUGUUUGUUUUAAUUUCUUUGUUCUUUUGUUUUAUUUCAUUUUUUCUUGUUUUCUAAAGAAAGGAACUCUGAUUUUUUUGGGGCAAUUCCGUUUAGCCCAUUGGUUUACUGAGUUUGAUUUUGAAUUGGGCUCUGUUAAUCAGAGGCCCAAAGGAAAGGGGAUUAGCCGAGUUUGGUAAACCAAUAUCUGGUAGGUCAUGGGUCAAUUUGACUCAUUUGUUUCCAAGGGUAAAUAACAGAGGUUUAAGGUUAAUUUAGGAAUUUUAAGUUAAGGAAUCUUGUAUAACUGACUCGGGAAACUUCUAGGAAGGUGGGUUUGGGGUUAUUUUUGAAAAGCUGAUUUUUGAAUUAGGGAUUGAAUAGCAAAAAUGAAAAUUGAAAAAGGAUUAAAGAGCAAAAACUGAACUCAUUUCUGCUGCCCUAAAAAUUCUCUAUAAAAUGCUAUUUCUUCACUCCCAUGUCAGAGUUUUAGAGACUGAAAAAGCAUUGAAACUUUAAAAACGACUGAGUUUUUCUUUCAAGUUCAAGUACUGGAAAUUGCUUGAAUUUUGCUUGGUUUUUGAGUUUUAAUUCCCUUUGAUAAGUCAGAAGUUCAAAAGUUUAAUAUAAUAGCUCAUCUGGGUUUUAAAAGUCUGGAUUUAGGUCGAGAAUUUGAAGCUUGUUUUGUCGAUUCUAUACUGUUACAUUGCUGCUAUUUUGCUGCUGCUGCUUCCUCCUAAUCUUAGGUUUUAUUUUUGGUUUAUUUUGCUGUAUUCAGGUAUAUGUUUCUGAAUCCUGCCUAAUGUGAGGCUCGAUUUGAAGUAUGGAGUUGAAAUCUUGAGUUUUAAGCAUAGCCUCAACUUACUUGUUCAUAGUUUAGCUUUACUUUUCUGAAUUACAUUGUACUAAUUUAUCUGAUGCAUUGUAUUUUGUCUUGUUGCUGCUAGUACUCUCUUAAGAGCUGUAUUUGAUCUGUACUUAGCAUGGAAUUCAAUUUUCAAUCAAGUAUCUUUUAGCUAGAUGUUGGUUUUGACAACUGAACUCGUACCAUUGUAUCUGAUCUUAGACUAUUAUGAUAGAAGCGUGAUGAACAACCUACUUAGUCGAAUCAGUAGCUAUUCUGCAAUCAACCAUGUUAAAUAGUGUAAUGUGGGCUGCAUUUGAACUCUCUCUGCCUUGUAUUUCAUUUGGAAUGUUAUAGCAUGUUUGUGGUACACAAUAACACUUUACUUCAUGGAGUUGAUCACUGAAUGGUUCAUAAAUCAGUAGUUAGUCUAUUUAAGUUGUAUUCCAUGUUGAAUCCAUGUUCCCAAGCAUAUGCAUGUUUUGAAGUCCUGUCAAGUAUUCUGAUGAAAAUUGAGUUGAAGGCUGGUUAUGUUUCGAUAGUAAGAUUAAUUGUGAAUGGUUAUAAUGUUUAAUUGUACAAUUGUUCACAUAUAGUCUCAUAAGGUUGAUUUGCUAUUGUAUGUGUUGAAGAGGGGUUUAAUCGAGGUUUAAAUCUCACAAUUGCAUAUGAAUUAGUUGAGGACUGAUUUGAGUAUGAAACUUAUACAGUUGUAUAUUAUGGAAAACCCAUCAGACCCCUGUUGUUAGAUUUGAAGUUCAAGUGCCUUUUUUUUACAAGCUGGAAGGACUCGAUCUCGAAUCCUGCUUUUCCCCUG
rnacentral:lncRNA from 1 species